UACGAAGGGGGCUAGCGUUGCUCGGAUUGACUGGGCGUAAAGGGCGCGUAGGCGGUUUGUACAGUCAGACGUGAAAUUCCUGGGCUCAACCUGGGGGCUGCGUUUGAUACGUAUGGACUUGAGUUCGGAAGAGGGUCGUGGAAUUCCCAGUGUAGAGGUGAAAUUCGUAGAUAUUGGGAAGAACACCGGUGGCGAAGGCGGCGACCUGGUCCUUGACUGACGCUGAGGCGCGAAAGCGUGGGGAGCAAACAGG
rnacentral:rRNA from 1 species